UGGGGAAUAUUGCACAAUGGGCGGAAGCCUGAUGCAGCGACGCCGCGUGGGGGAUGAAGGCCUUCGGGUUGUAAACUCCUUUCGACAGGGACGAAGCUUUUGUGACGGUACCUGUAUAAGAAGCACCGGCUAACUACGUGCCAGCAGCCGCGGUAAUACGUAGGGUGCGAGCGUUGUCCGGAAUUACUGGGCGUAAAGAGCUCGUAGGUGGUUUGUCGCGUCGUCUGUGAAAUUCCGGGGCUUAACUCCGGGCGUGCAGGCGAUACGGGCUGACUUGAGUGCUGUAGGGGAGACUGGAAUUCCUGGUGUAGCGGUGAAAUGCGCAGAUAUCAGGAGGAACACCGAUGGCGAAGGCAGGUCUCUGGGCAGUAACUGACGCUGAGGAGCGAAAGCAUGGGUAGCGAAGAGG
rnacentral:rRNA from 1 species